rnacentral:rRNA from 1 species
UACGUAGGGGGCUAGCGUUGUCCGGAAUCAUUGGGCGUAAAGAGCGUGUAGGCGGUCCGGUAAGUCCGCUGUGAAAGUCGGGGGCUCAACCCUCGAAUGCCGGUGGAUACUGUCGGGCUAGAGUGCGGAAGAGGCGAGUGGAAUUCCUGGUGUAGCGGUGAAAUGCGCAGAUAUCAGGAGGAACACCUAUUGCGAAGGCAGCUCGCUGGGACGUAACUGACGCUGAGACGCGAAAGCGUGGGGAGUAAACGGG